GGGAGAAUGGUUUGGGGAAGUGCAAAAUGUGUACCGACUGAUAUUCCGUGGACCUGAACCUCAAUUUACUGCUUCAUUCAGUGCCCUGAUGAGAACGAAAUGUCAGGGAUGAGACGGAAGCAGGUGCGGCACUAGGAGCCCUGGGUAGGAGCUCAUCAGGAUCAUCCAAGCUAGAGGAGAUGCUCCUUUACACUACCUUGAUUAAUGAAGUUUUAACAGUCUUCCUUGGGACCUGUUAAUAUGGAGAUGUCUAUUAAACAAUGAAGCAGAAAUGGUAGGUGGACAGCUGAAUAUAGAGCCUGGAAUUUGGAAGACUGAGGUCAGUUCAAGAAAUAUAAAUGUAAUGUCAUCACCAUACAGAUGGU